AUUGAACGCUGGCGGCAUGCUUUACACAUGCAAGUCGAACGGUAACAGGCCGCAAGGUGCUGACGAGUGGCGAACGGGUGAGUAAUGCAUCGGAACGUGCCCAGUCGUGGGGGAUAACUACUCGAAAGAGUAGCUAAUACCGCAUACGAUCUAUGGAUGAAAGCGGGGGACCGUAAGGCCUCGCGCGAUUGGAGCGGCCGAUGUCAGAUUAGGUAGUUGGUGGGGUAAAGGCUCACCAAGCCAACGAUCUGUAGCUGGUCUGAGAGGACGACCAGCCACACUGGGACUGGGACACGGCCCAGACGCCUAAGGGAGGCAGCAGUGGGGAAUGUUGGACAAUGGGCGCAAGCCUGAUCCAGCAAUGCCGCGUGCAGGAAGAAGGCCUUCGGGUUGUAAACUGCUUUUGUACGGAACGAAACGGCUCUGGUUAAUACCCGGGGCUAAUGACGGUACCGUAAGAAUAAGCACCGGCUAACUACGUG
rnacentral:rRNA from 1 species